CAGUAGCCGCGGGAAUACGUAGGUGACAAGCGUUGUCCGGAAUUAUUGGGCGUAAAGGGCUCGCAGGCGGUUUCUUAGGUCUGAUGUGAAAGCCCCCGGCUCAACCGGGGAGGGUCAUUGGAAACUGGGAAACUUGAGUGCAGAAGAGGAGAGUGGAAUUCCACGUGUAGCGGUGAAAUACGUAGAGAUGUGGAGGAACACCAGUGGCGAAGGCGACUCUCUGGUCUGUAACUGACGCUGAGGAGCGAAAGCGUGGGGAGCGAACAGGAUUAGAUACCCCCGUAGUCCCUGUCUCUUAUAC
rnacentral:rRNA from 1 species